UGGGGAGUAGCCAAGUGGUAAGGCAACGGACUUUGACUCCGUGAUGCGCAGGUUCGAGUCCUGCCUCCCCAGCCA
rnacentral:tRNA from 1 species